GACGAACGCUGGCGGCGUGCCUAAUACAUGCAAGUAGAACGCUGAAGGAGGAGCUUGCUUCUCCGGAUGAGUUGCGAACGGGUGAGUAACGCGUAGGUAACCUGCCUGGUAGCGGGGGAUAACUAUUGGAAACGAUAGCUAAUACCGCAUAACAGUAGAUGUUGCAUGACAUUUGCUUAAAAGGUGCAAUUGCAUCACUACCAGAUGGACCUGCGUUGUAUUAGCUAGUUGGUGAGGUAACGGCCCACCAAGGCGACGAUACAUAGCCGACCUGAGAGGGUGAUCGGCCACACUGGGACUGAGACACGGCCCAGACUCCUACGGGAGGCAGCAGUAGGGAAUCUUCGGCAAUGGACGGAAGUCUGACCGAGCAACGCCGCGUGAGUGAAGAAGGGUUUCGGAUCGUAAAGCUCUGUUGUAAGAGAAGAACGAGUGUGAGAGUGGAAAGUUCACACUGUGACGGUAUCUUACCAGAAAGGGACGGCUAACUACGUG
rnacentral:rRNA from 1 species